UUGGUUGAUAAACCAACCUGGUCAGUUUUAUACAGUUCCUUCAUUUUCGUUCAACAUUUUCUCUGGACAAACUGGAGGACACCCAAGUCAACAUGAACAUCUUCCAUGGUCCCACGCAGCUUGACAUGGACUACUGGAGCCAGUCCAAUAGUAUUAUAGCCCUGCACAGACCUCAAUAGCUGCCAGAGAAACAAGCAUCACAAACUGAACUUGUGCACAUCACCACAGUUCAGACAUACCUCCCAACCUGCCUUCCUG